rnacentral:misc_RNA from 1 species
UCACACCUUACGGUGGCAGUCUCGCUAGAGUUCCCGGCAUCACCCGAUGGCAACUAACGAUAAGGGUUGCGCUCGUUAUGGCACUUAAGCCGACACCUCACGGCACGAGCUGACGACAACCAUGCAGCACCUACACAAUCGCCAUUGCUGGAAGUAAUGUUUCCACUACCGUCGAUUGCAUUUCAAGCCCGGGUAAGGUUCCUCGCGUAUCAUCGAAUUAAACCACAUGUUCCUCCGCUUGUGCGGGCCCCCGUCAAUUCCUUUGAGUUUCAUUCUUGCGAACGUACUCCCCAGGUGGAAUACUUAACGCUUUCGCUGUGCCACUCGCUGUAUAUCGCGAACAGCUAGUAUUCAUCGUUUACUGCGUGGACUAC